UUCAUGGAGAGUUUGAUCCUGGCUCAGGACGAACGCUGGCGGCGUGCCUAAUACAUGCAAGUCGAGCGGACAGAUGGGAGCUUGCUCCCUGAUGUUAGCGGCGGACGGGUGAGUAACACGUGGGUAACCUGCCUGUAAGACUGGGAUAACUCCGGGAAACCGGGGCUAAUACCGGAUGCUUAAUUGAACCGCAUGGUUCAAUUAUAAAAGGUGGC
rnacentral:rRNA from 1 species